GGGGCUGCACUGGUUUCGACAUGAGUUCGGACGCGUGGCAGGGCAUGUCGAGGUUCUGUUACCUCGUUAAACAGCAGAAAAAAAACUAACUGCAAACGACGAACGUUUCGCACUCGCCGCUUAAUCCGGUGAGCCUUGCAACAGUUGGCCGAUAGGCUGGGUUAGGGUGAAGGGGGCGUUAAAACCUCACAAGUCCUAGCUGCAAGGUAACUCAUAUUGGCUGGCAUGACACCGGGCACCUUGGUGUUGUGUGAGAUCUAAGGAUGCUGGUUGGGUACAUAGCGUGUCGCUGCGCGAUGUAUUUGAUGAGACUCAAAUCAGACGACUACACAUGUAGAACUGUACGAAAAAGACUUAUGGACGCGGGUUCAAAUCCCGCCAGCUCCACCA
rnacentral:tmRNA from 1 species